rnacentral:lncRNA from 1 species
AAAAUUCAGAAAACGUUCUGUCUCUUCUGUUCUCAAAAUUCGUGUGAGUGCCAAGCCGCAAGGAGCAAGCACGCAGCCAAUAGAGCUUCCUCAACGCUGCCAAAGUCCUUCCUGUGCUAGUUCGUCACCCCUUUGAAGCUUCACGGCCAAGAAGACUCAAAAGUGUAAAACUAUGGUUUGGAUUUACUAUUUUGUUCCUACUGCCUUUGGAUUUCUAAUCACAUGGAUUAUGAGUGCUGAUUUUGACAAUAUGUUUUAUACAUGAAUUUUAUAAAGUUUUGUUCUUAGAUUGUUAAUGAAAUUUGCGUAACUUAUUCCUGUGCCAUUCUUGAUGUUGAAAACUUAUGAUCUACAGGUUUAUUUAAAUGAUUGACUUCUAUAGGGUUGGUACUGCCAUUUAUCUGUGUUAAACCGCUAAGACAAACAUAGAUUGAUUAAGUGGCAAAAGCUUAGAUUCAUAGGAAUGGGUCAGGUUUUGAUCAUGAGUUGCAUUUGAACUAUUUAAGCGCUAAGAUAAACUUGUUUACAUGUUCGAAUUCUUCUGUGAACUUAAUGAUUCAUGUUAUAUGUUGUAUGGUUGCGCUAAGUAUUAACAUGACAUAUUGCAUGGAAUUUUCUGUGUUAAACUGCUAAGGCAAACAUAUGAUACUUAAGCAGAUUAUUAUAUGUUACAUGACCGCUACGGUGUGUAAUUCUGAAUUCGUUUCUUCAUACUUGAUUGGCAUGAUUUUAAGUUAUGUAGAUUGAAGCAAUCUGUUACAUGAUUUUAUAUGUUUGUGUGGAAUGAAGUUGAUCACUUGUACAUAGUAGUUCUUUUCUUUACCUUUUUCAUAGGAAUGUUAGAACCAAAUCCCUAAAAUCCCCCUUGAAAUCUUGUAAAUGUAAUUGCUGUUUAUAUUCUGUGAUUAACUUUUCUAAUUUUGUAAACGCAGGAGCACCCUAAAGUCCCCGGAUUGAUCAAACCUUAUUUACCAGUACUACAAUUGUCAAAACAGGGUUCAUAAUUGUUGCACACCCGAAAACGAGCGCGUCAUGCUCAAAUAAACAAAUCUUUACAAAAAUCUUAACAGACUAUUAUUUUAACACUAUUUUACAGGCUAUUUUACACUUACCGCCACUUAAUCAUGCUUAGAGAGAAAAAGUGGAAAAGAGGGAAGAAAUUAUCGGUACCUCACUAGCCGCCGGACUCUAGAAUCUUGCCGGUUGACGAAAUUUCGCCAGGCAUGUAAAACCGAUCGCCAGAAUCUCGUCGGACCUUUUAAAAUGUCACCAGAGCUUGUCGGAACCAUAACAUACACUUGUUGGAAGUUUAUUGAGGGGCAAUAAGAUUGAAAAAUAUUUUACUAGGGCCAAUACAAUUUUACCAAAAGGCAAUAAACUUUUACCGGAAGGCAAUAAAAAAUUUAUUAACAGGUUACAAACAUGAAAUCUCACUAGAACAUCCCAAAUGAAUUUGUAUCAGUUAAUACACGGUCUAUUUAGGGGCUACGCGGGGGGGAUUAAAUGUUGAGAAAAUUUUUAUUGCCCUAAAUAAUGUUGAUUAACCCCUAAUAAACUUUAGAAAAGAAAACUUUAACCUUCUUAUAACUCCCCCCAAUUCCACAUCAAAACAUCCCGAAAACUAGAAACCAUACCGGUUCCUGAGCGUCACCAACAGUAACCUAGAUCAAAAAGUCAUCUCCGAUCGGUCAGACCAGUCGCGCCACCUCCUAGCAGUUGCGAUUGUCCUCAACCUGCUCACAGCCAUGUCUGAUCUGGAGAAGAAAAGUUUGGCAUCCUCAAUGACGCAAAUCAGGACCCCAACCAAUACAAACUAGGAUUUUUGGUUAGGAGGCGCCACUAAUUUCUUGUUGGAACGGAGUUGAAUCGCUUGAACUUUGUGUACAAACAUAACUGGGAUUUCUCGAAUAUCGAGAACAAAAUUGGGAGCAACAAAGUCUACCUCUUCGCUCAGACGGAGUCUAGAAAAUAAUGGGAUCAACGAUUUCUUAUCCUGACACUAGUGGUGAUGCAGCGCCUCGACCGCCAUCGAUGGAGAUUUUGAUCAGGUAUGUGCAAGCGCCACGCUAGAGUCACUGACAUCGGAUCCAGAUUGAAGGCGCCAUGCUGGAGUCGCUAAUGUAUGUUAAAUUUAUCCAAAGGUGCUCGUCGCCGAUUUCUUCUUCGGCCUAAGGUGGUGCUGAUGCUCCUCUAUCAAGACGCCGGCUAUGAUGCCAUCUUCAGCCAAUCUGCUUCAGAGUAUUAAUGUUAUGGUCUAGGUAUCGACGAUGAUGGUGAGGAGGUCCGAGAGAGAGAGAGAGAGAGAGAGAGAGAGAGAGAGAGAGAGAGAGAGAGAGAGAGAGAGAGAGAGAGAGAGAGAGAGAGAGAGAGAGAGAGAGAGAGAGAGAGAGAGAGAGAGAAUGGUUAAUAAGUGAGGGUAAACAUGUCAUUACAUUUAGCUUAAGAGUGCUGCUAAAUGUACCCAGCAAAUUUCUAUGUACACCCAACAAACUAUUUACACCCGGUAAGAUUAUAGAAUCUCUAAGUAAACCCAGCAGUUUUCCAAUAAUACCCUUUCUUUGUUAAACCCAGCAGUCACACCCAAUACUCAGACCAAAAUCCAAUCUCUUUUUCGAGUGAACAGGGAGGAAAAAUAAGCUCCAGGAAGAAUCUUCUUCAACAUUUAUCCAAUCUUGUUCAUCAAAACUAGUUUCUGUUACAAAAUUCAAUCUACCUUCUUUAAUUUCUCAAAUGCAUCGCGAGCCUUGAACGACUUCAAUGACGAUGGCAUUGACCUAGACUGCCAGACAUGUCAGAACCCACCCCGAAUUUCACCCUGAAACCUGAAGUAAAUCCUGCGGGGUCCACCUCUAAGGAAAAUUUACCUAAAAAUUUGGCGUAACCUCCCUUGAAAAAGGACAACCCUAACCUGAAAAAUUUAGAUAAGCACUCCUAUAACGAAAACAUCCAUCCUCAACUCCUAAAGCCAUCCGCUCCCCACAAACUCAUCCCCCACAAAUAACAUUAUACCAAAUCUAAAACCAUCACACAAAUAUCCUGAGAUAAUUUAUACAACAACCUCCAAAUAUUUCUAAAGUAUACUUUUGAGUAUUAACAUACAACCGCAAUACCAUAAAUUAAUCUCAAGGUUAUCAGAGCCACUAGACUAGAGGAAGCAAGAAAGAUACACUGGUAGGUUAACAGGUAACCUACUGGUGAAAAGUGGUGGUGAUGUGGGUAACUAUGCCUCACCUCCUUCUAGAACCGACCCGAACUCCGUAGACUGGGCAUUUUAAACCGAAGAGCCCAGGGGAAAACAUUUGAAAACGUUAGCGUGAGUGGACAAAAAUAGUAACGAUAAUAAAUACUUGAAAUAAAAUUUCUGAACAAGAUUUAAAUGCUUUACCUUUUUGUUCAUCGAACAAUAUAAUUAUGCAUGCACCACUUAAUGCUCACCAAUAAUACUUCCAAAGAGUAAAAAAAAUGACGAACCAAUCCCAUUGGUUUGAAUAAAUCCAAGAAAUUAGAAAGGGGGUUUCACCAUAAAGAUGGGCCUCCCAGGCUAGGGUCGGAGCCUCCCAGGCUCUAUUAAUAGCGUCCCACGCCAAAGGCUAGCUAGCAAUAAUAAUAUACAACAACCCUUAUAUAAUGAAAUAAGAAGAUCAUAUAGAGCUCACAAGAUAAAUAUCCUGGCCCACUAGAUUGAGCUCAUGGGAUAGGUGUCCCGGCCCACUAGAUCGAGCUCACGAGAUAAGUAUCCCGGCCCACUCAACCAAGCAAUGUAACGAUACUCAAUGACGUCUCACACAUCAAAAUAUACUCUAAGCAAUGAUUGAGGAGUACCAAAAAUCCCAUUUUCGGUAACCUUUUACAAAUCUCAAUGUUGACAAAUCUAAACGACAAUUAUAAAGGAGAUAUUUAUAAUUUAAUUGUCGCAUGCAAUUUAUUCAAAAUAAAAGUCUACUCACAGAUCGUGACUAGCACUGCUGCCGAUCCUGAUGCUCCUCAACACGAGUAUCCUCUCGUCCAGAAGAAAAGAUACAUUAUUCUUUGCUAACCAAAUAUCAACACCAAAAAUUAUAAUAAAUAACACGAGCCUAUAACGUUCUCACUAACCCACUUCUCUUAUUUCUUAACCAAUUGGACCAAACUUCUUCGCAAACUCCAUCCUAAAAUUCCGACGGAUUUAAGCUAAUUUCCUUAAUAAUCCAACAGCCGGAUUCUUGACUAACAACCAGCAAUUUCCUAUCCUUUUGAAAAACCUAAAACUUAACCACCACACCUCUAAAACUCUUAAAAUUAACAUCAUUGAAUUCCUCCCUUCAAACACAUCUUAAACAGCAUAACCAACAAUCCUAAAGUGGUGGCACCACCGCCUGCGUCGCCGGCAGCGGCGGCCGGCCAUGGCCAAAUUCCGGCCACCUUCAAUGACUACUAAAUUUUAACCCAAUAACCUUCUCAACUAGCUCAACAACAUUCCAAACUCCAACAAAGACAAAUUUUGAGAAGAAACAGACCAAUCUACCCGAAAUAGCAAUAAUCCCAAAUUAGGAACCCUAGAAUUGACAUGCUCGGUUCUCCCUACUUAUAGUGAAUUAGUUUGAUUCCUUCUAGGGUAUUGCUGCACAAAGGAAGGGCUUCAAGAAGGAGUAAAAAUCUCCAGCUAUGGAGACCGGAGGAGAGAGUUUCGGUCGGUAAACAGUCGGCGAAAGGGGUGGUUUCUCUCACCUGGUGGAGUUGCAGAUGCGAUCGCCGACCUAGCUAGCUAGAAGAGAGGAUGACCAGUCGACCGGGAUCGGAGCGACGGCCUGAGCUGGCCGGACGGCAAUGAUCGGGAGUGGGAAACUAUUCUGGGCAAGGAGAGGGAGAGGGCGUCGGGGAAGAGAAGAGGAAGUGAGGAGAAUCAGUUUUGGGCCUUUCUCUUUUCUUUCCAACCGGUCCAACUCCCCUAAAUAAAACCCAACAUCCAAAAAAUAACACCCUAAUAAAUAAUACCCUAAUAAAAAUUACAUUUUUACUAGUUAACAUUCAACUUUUUUUUUUAUCGUCUUCAAAUAUUUCUCAAAAACAUAGUCCCUCCAAAAUAUCUCUAGGGCCCUUUGAAACUAUAAACUCAAUAACGAAGACAGUAAAAAAUCUUAUUAAAACCAAGCUAAUAAUUAGGGUAAAAAUUUAAGAGUCAGGAUGUGACAAAGCUAACCAACGGUGACCUGAUCAUGCUCGACGUACCUUUGCAAAUUACUCAACAACUCCAAAUAAUUAAUCUUCUUAUUAUUUGAAUUGAAACUGGCUCUCCCAAACUCAACCAACUCACUCCACUCAACCCACCCACCCCCCCCCCCCCCCCCCCCUCCUUCUUAAUUUCUUCUUCUUCACCACCUUCCUGACCCGGCUCCGACCCAAAUUACAAACAUUGUCUCCGAGAGUGGUUGAACGCAUCACUAACACCUUCUGCAUGAGCUCACACAUCCCUAUCGCCACCGGCACGCCGAAACUCAAAACUCGCUGAAUCUGAUCGAGAAACUGUUAGCCAGGUCUGGUGCUCAAACUAGAUGCUCCGAUAAAAACAAAAACCCCAACAUGCAGAAAUUGGAUUAAUGUAUAGGGCACCAGAUGGUUAUAUAUGAACACAAACUGUGUGUGUAUUUAAUUUUGAUAAUGAAG